ACAGUUGUAGACUAGAAAGUGCAUUUUCUGAAGAAACUGCAGUGUGAAUGCUUGAAUCUGAAUGUAUGCACUGAAAUGAAUUAAUUGCUGAAUUUUGAGUUAAAAAUAUUGAAUGAGAUUUAAAAAAAAACAAAAAAAAAAAACGAAUUUAACCUUAAAACAAAGGUGCUGAACUGCUAAAAGCUGAAGGUUACACAGAAGAAGGAGUUGGAAAAAAACUGAAAAUGUUUUAAAUGUAAAUUAGAAAACCCUAAGAAAUGAGAAAAGAACAUUUAGAGUCAGAAAACAUCUGAAUGAAUAUUAAAAGGUCAUAUUCUUUGAAUCACUGAAUGACUCAAAUGUGAUCCCUCCACUUUGAUCCACACAGUUUAAAAAGUUUAAAUGCCUGAGCUUUGAAAGAUACGGUGUUGGAAAGAGAACAAUAAUGGCAACAAUUUGAGGGUAAAAUGAUGGCUGUAACACUGUGGACACAGCAGCAGUUGAAAGAGAAGUGCUUAAGAUGAAUCUUGGUACAGUGGCAGGCAGAGCUCGUUAAGCAGGCAGGUGUGAGCCUGGUUGCUAUAGUGACCGCACCCAAUGGCUCCAUACACACGCACACAGACAUGCACCUCACUUUUGCUGCUUAAAAUGAACAGAAAAGUCAGGCCGAAACAAAUCGUUCCCAAAUGAAAAGUAAAAGUCGUAUUGACAAAAUUCUUUCACCGUGAGCGACAGCAGCUUCUAGUCUACCUAAUUCUCAGUUUUCAUGUCUGUGGAGUUUAUUAU
ensembl:lncRNA